rnacentral:lncRNA from 1 species
CCUCAUCUCAGGAUUUUAUUAUUACAACAGAGGACGUGUGAACAAGGGCCCAAGGCAAAGCUGUCCUCGAGUGCUGUCCUGGCCAUGUGAGUGACAUCUGCUUCUCAUGGCUUCUCUAAUCAGGGUGGAAAUGCACGUUGGCCGCAAGGCCUUGCUCUGAGUGAGCCAGGAGCCCAUGUCUAGACAGCAGCCACAGCAAAGCAGGGCACCCCUGGGGCCAGCCCGAGGUGGGCUUCGCUCUCGCCAGAGUUUGAUGGGGAAGGGAUGGGGCCCCUCCCACCUAAUCCCACACCCCCGUCCUCCUCCAGGUUGUUAGUGGCGGCCCCUGCCUCCAUGCCAGCCCCGCGAGCAGGAGACGCGGCGUGGAUCCGGGUGCAAUCCGUUCGAAGUGACCAUGGAAUGACCUGGGUGACUGUGACCGUCCCUGCUACAGACCACACUUUGAAUUCUGAUGAAUUCCCAGACACUACACGGAGCAGUCCUCGCCGGGCAGCAGUGGCAAGGGCAGUGUCCAGGCAACCCUGCAGUCACAAGAGGAACAACUCCCACCCCCAGCACUGGUGCCCACGUCACCAUUUUUUUUUUUUUUGAUAGGCAGAGUUAGUGAGAGAGAGACAGAGAGAAAUGUCUUCAUUUUCCAUUGGCUCACCCCCCAAAUGGCUGCUACGGUCAGCGCGCUGCGCCGAUCCAAAGCCAGGAGCCAGGUGCCUCCUCCUGGUCUCCCAUGCGGGCGCAGGGCCCAAGCACUUGGGUCACCCUCCACUGCCUUCCCGGGCCACAGCAGAGAGCUGGACUGGAAGAGGAGCAUGCGGGACAGAACCGGCACCCCAACCAGGACUAGAACCCGGGAUGCCGGCACCACAGGAGGAGGAUUAGCUUAGUGAGCUGCAGCGCCAGCCCAACAUCACCAUAUUUUCAAGUCCCAGGGUUUCCUGGGAUGCAUAGCAUGAGGGCAGGCACAUCCAGACAGGGAAGGGUGCAGGCAGGCACAGGGGGUGCACCCAGUACUCUCUGGAGAAGUGAAACACCAGCUCAGCCCUCAGGGAGCUCACAGCAGAGAGGAGAGGCAGCCCGUGUGUGGGGAGCAGAGCCACGACGCCCCCAGUGAGGUCUCGAGCUGACCCCUGGAACUCAGGAGCAAGCCCCUUGCCUAGCAAGGGAGAAUGGAGGCUGCACCGGUGGGUCUAGCGCACUCCACUGGUAGCAACAAGCAAAAGAGGGAGACAGAAGCGAGUGCCAGGGGUACCACAGGAGAGAGACUCCACCUGUCACUGGCAGCCUGGACACCUCCAGAGCCCUCCCCCCAGAGCCUCCAGACAAGCCUGGCCCUGCCAGC